rnacentral:rRNA from 1 species
CCUACGGGCGGCUGCAGUCGAGAAUCAUUCACAAUGGGGGAAACCCUGAUGGUGCGACGCCGCGUGGGGGAAUGAAGGUCUUCAGAUUGUAAACCCCUGUCAUGUGGGAGCAAAUUAAAAAGAUAGUACCACAAGAGGAAGAGACGGCUAACUCUGUGCCAGCAGCCGCGGUAAUACAGAGGUCUCAAGCGUUGUUCGGAAUCACUGGGCGUAAAGCGUGCGUAGGCUGUUUCGUAAGUCGUGUGUGAAAGGCGCGGGCCCAACCCGCGGAAGGCACAUGAUACUGCGAGACUGGAGUAAUGGAGGGGGAACCGGAAUUCUCGGUGUAGCAGUGAAAUGCGUAGAUAUCGAGAGGAACACUCGUGGCGAAGGCGGGUUCCUGGACAUUAACUGACGCUGAGGCACGAAGGCCAGGGGAGCGAAAGGGAUUAGAUACCCUAGUAGUC